rnacentral:rRNA from 1 species
AUUGAACGCUGGCGGAAUGCUUUACACAUGCAAGUCGAACGGCAGCACGGACUUCGGUCUGGUGGCGAGUGGCGAACGGGUGAGUAAUGUAUCGGAACGUGCCCAGUCGUGGGGGAUAACGUAGUGAAAAUUACGCUAAUACCGCAUACGAUCUAUGGAUGAAAGCGGGGGAUCGCAAGACCUCGCGCGAUUGGAGCGGCCGAUAUCAGAUUAGGUAGUUGGUGGGGUAAAGGCCCACCAAGCCAACGAUCUGUAGCUGGUCUGAGAGGACGACCAGCCACACUGGAACUGAGACACGGUCCAGGCUCCUACGGGAGGCAGCAGUGGGGAAUUUUGGACAAUGGGCGAAAGCCUGAUCCAGCCAUUCCGCGUGCAGGAUGAAGGCCCUCGGGUUGUAAACUGCUUUUGUACAGAACGAAAAGGUUUCUACUGAUACUAGGAGCUCAUGACGGUACUGUAAGAAUAAGCACCGGCUAACUACGUGCCAGCCGCCGCUGUAA